UGGGGAAUUUUGGACAAUGGGCGAAGCCUGAUCCAGCAAUGCCGCGUGUGUGAAGAAGGCCUUCGGGUUGUAAAGCACUUUUGUCCGGAAAGAAAUCCUUGGACUCUAAUACAGUCGGGGGAUGACGGUACCGGAAGAAUAAGCACCGGCUAACUACGUGCCAGCAGCCGCGGUAAUACGUAGGGUGCAAGCGUUAAUCGGAAUUACUGGGCGUAAAGCGUGCGCAGGCGGUUUGCUAAGACCGAUGUGAAAUCCCCGGGCUCAACCUGGGAACUGCAUUGGUGACUGGCAGGCUAGAGUAUGGCAGAGGGGGGUAGAAUUCCACGUGUAGCAGUGAAAUGCGUAGAGAUGUGGAGGAAUACCGAUGGCGAAGGCAGCCCCCUGGGCCAAUACUGACGCUCAUGCACGAAAGCGUGGGGAGCAAACAGGAUUAGAUACCCUGGUAGUCCACGCCCUAAACGAUGUCAACUAGUUGUUGGGGAUUCAUUCCUUAGUAACGUAGCUAACGCGUGAAGUUGACCGCCUGGGGGAGUACGGUCGCAAGAUUAAAACUUAAUGAAUUGAC
rnacentral:rRNA from 1 species